UGAGCUAUGAUUGUGCCACUGUACUCCAGC
rnacentral:piRNA from 2 species